rfam:Porphyromonas sp. HMSC065F10 Porphyromonas_spHMPREF2890-1.0_Cont379.2, whole genome shotgun sequence.
GUGCCCAUAGCUCAGUUGGUAGAGCGCUGGAUUGUGGUUCCAGAUGUCGAGAGUUCGAACCUCUUUGGGCACC